AACACUCUUAGCACCCUACAAGCAGGUAUGUGCUUACCAGCAAACUAAAGCAAAUGGAAAUUACGAAGCAUGAUCGCCACCAGCGAGGUGCUGCUGAACUAUAAGGCUUCAGAUGGUCAGAUAAAGUACCUGAUGCUGAAAAACAGGAAAUUGAAUCAUGUCUCCAAAAUGUGCCUUUUGUCAUGCACUGUUACAGCUAUAUUUCUUGCUCUUUAGGCCUUAAUGAUUGACAUGAUCUUGGAGAUCAGUUAGGUAUGUAGCAAACCUCUCCUAGAAACCUGGAAGAUGUGGCAAGAAGAAAACAUGGAGCCUUUUCUGAACAAGCCUAUGAGAGAAGAAGAAUCACUUCAAUUUAUAAGUGUGGAUCCUGGGACUAAAGAACUUACCUAACACCACACAACCAGCAAAUUACUGACCCUGCAUAUUCUGAACCAGGUCUUUAUUCUUCCCAGGACUUCACAGUGCCUUCCUCAGAGCAUCUCUACAUGAAAAUCUGUAUAAAGAAGUGAUCUGUGGUGUCGCCAUUUGUAUCAAAAUGAUAUCACCAACUUAUUUAAAAGACUUUAUCUAAAAGUCUUCAGAUAGUUUUGGCCAGGGAAGAGCUCUAAUAUCACAUAUUAAUAGCCCUACCUUUGUAAUAUGUAAAUUGUGUUUUUUUUUAACAUCUCAGUUUCAUUAAACUGAGGCCA